rnacentral:rRNA from 1 species
GAUUAACGCUAGCGGCAGGCCUAAUACAUGCAAGUCGAACGAGAAGGUGUAGCAAUACACUUGUACAGUGGCGAACGGGUGAGGAAUGCAUGGGCAACCUACCCUCGAGUGGGGAAUAACCAGCCGAAAGGUUGGCUAAUACCGCGUACGCUUCCGGGUCUCCGGAUCCGGAAGGAAAGUCACACCGUGGGUGUGACGCUCAAGGAUGGGCUCAUGUCCUAUCAGCUUGUUGGGAGGUAACGGCUCACCAAGGCAACGACGGGUAGCUGGUCUGAGAGGACGAUCAGCCACACUGGCACUGCGACACGGGCCAGACUCCUACGGAGGCAGCAGUAAGGAAUAUUGCGCAAUGGGCGAAAGCCUGACGCAGCGACGCCGCGUGGGGGAUGAAGGUCUUCGGAUUGUAAACCCCUUUUAGG